rnacentral:rRNA from 1 species
UGGGGAAUUUUGGACAAUGGGCGAAAGCCUGAUCCAGCAAUGCCGCGUGUGUGAAGAAGGCCUUCGGGUUGUAAAGCACUUUUGUCCGGAAAGAAAUCCUCUGGGUUAAUACCUCGGGGGGAUGACGGUACCGGAAGAAUAAGCACCGGCUAACUACGUGCCAGCAGCCGCGGUAAUACGUAGGGUGCAAGCGUUAAUCGGAAUUACUGGGCGUAAAGCGUGCGCAGGCGGUUUUAUAAGACGGAUGUGAAAUCCCCGGGCUUAACCUGGGAACUGCAUUCGUGACUGCAAGGCUAGAGUAUGGCAGAGGGGGGUAGAAUUCCACGUGUAGCAGUGAAAUGCGUAGAGAUGUGGAGGAAUACCGAUGGCGAAGGCAGCCCCCUGGGCCAAUACUGACGCUCAUGCACGAAAGCGUGGGGAGCAAACAGGAUUAGAUACCCUGGUAGUCCACGCCCUAAACGAUGUCAACUAGUUGUUGGGGAUUCAUUUCCUUAGUAACGUAGCUAACGCGUGAAGUUGACCGCCUGGGGAGUACGGUCGCAAGAUUAAAACUCAAAUGAAUUGACGGGGUCAUAGCUGUUUCCU